AGAGAGAUGGCCAAGCGGUUCAAGGCGUAGCAUUGGAACUGCUAUGUAGACUUUUGUUUACCAAGUGUUUGAAUCCCUCUCUUUCCG
rnacentral:tRNA from 1 species